rnacentral:rRNA from 1 species
CCUACGGGGGGCAGCAGUGGGGGAUAUUGCACAAUGGGGGAAACCCUGAUGCAGGGACGCCGCGUGGAGGAAGAAGGUCCGCUGGAUGGUAAACUACUGUCCCCAGGGACGAAGAUGAAGGGACCGGGGGAGGAAGCGCCGGCUAACUAAGUGGCAGCAGCCGCGGUAAUACGGAGGGAGCGAGCGUGGUCCGGAAUUACGGGGUGGAAAGGGAGCGGAGGCGGGGAUGCAAGGUGGGUGUUAAAUCUACCGGCUCAACUGGUAGUCGCACUCCAAACUGCAGCUCUUGAGUGAAGUAGAGGCAGGCGGUAUUCCUCGUGUCGCGGUGCCAUGCGUCGAUCUUAGGCG